CUCUGAUAAAUACUGACCAACGAUAUACAAUUCAAUUCUAUAACUGACCAACGAUAUACAAUUCAAUUCUAUACUUUGAAGCCACACGCAAUUCACUACAGACCAAUUGCAAUGGAUAAGCUCACAAGCUACAAUCUGUAGGUAUACAAGGGGUUGCUGAGUUGUGCUCUUUGCCAACAGGUUUGUUGUAAGCAGGACGCCGUAGUGAUGGUGUGCAGGUUGCGUCCGGCGGCGGACUCGGCGUCAGGGACCGGCAAGAUGACGGGUGGGCGCGGAGGUAGGCCAAACAUGGUGGAUCUCGCCGCGGGCGUCAAAAGGAUCACCGGGGCCAUGGAGUCGUUUGAGGCGGAAGACCGCAGAGGCUGGCCAAGCCAGACAAGCGCGUCCACCGUUCAAGGGAUAACCGGACCAUGGAUCCGUUUGAGGCAGACGAGCGCAGUGGUAGGCCAAGCGCGGCUGCCAUCGAAGGAUUCACCAGGGCGCCGCCAUGGAGCGAUUGGAGGAGAGGAUCCAGAUUAAGAAAC
rnacentral:rRNA from 1 species